rnacentral:rRNA from 1 species
UUGUGUCGGUGUACGAGGUGGUGCAUGGGUUGUCGUCAGCUCGUGUCGUGAGAUGUUGGGUUAAGUCCCGCAACGAGCGCAACCCUCGUCCUAUGUUGCCAGCGGGUCAUGCCGGGACUCAUGGGAGACUGCCGGGGUCAACUCGGAGGAAGUGGGAUGACGUCAAAUCAUCAUGCCCCUUGUGUCUUGGGCUUCACGCAUGCUACAAUGGCCGGUACAAAGGGCUGCGAUACCGCGAGGUGGAGCGAAUCCCAGAAAGCCGGUCUCAGUUCGGAUUGGGGUCUGCAACUCGACCCCAUGAAGUCGGAGUCGCUAGUAAUCGACAGAUCAGCAACGCUGCGGUGAAUACGUUCCCGGGCCUU